rnacentral:rRNA from 1 species
UGAGCAAUCUGCCCUUCUCAUCGGAAUAAGCGUUGGAAACGACGUCUAAUGCCGAAUACGACCUCCUUUCGCAUGAUCGGAGGUGGAAAGCUCCGGCGGAGAAGGAUGAGCUCGCGGCCUAUCAGCUAGUUGGUGUGGGUAAUGGCCCACCAAGGCGACGACGGGUAGCCGGCCUGAGAGGGCGACCCGGCCACACGUGGGACUGAGACACGGCCCAGACUCCACGGG